UGUGUGGGUUCACUCUGAGUGUCACUCUGCAAAGUUUCACUUUUCCUGCUUUUGACAGAAAAGAGGAGUUUUACCAGCACUGCUGCAUUCAGGGACCACGAGCGCCGUUACAAUACAACCCGACCCUGAUCGAAUGGGCGCCAUCGCAGAACCCAGGAGGGACUGGAUAUUCUUGAAAAGAUGCAGUCAUAGACCAUGUUCAUAACCAGGAGAAGAAGGAGGGGUGGAAAAAAGGAAGCAUGUCGAUAAUUGAAGACGUCGUCUGCGUGGGGGAACAAAAGGUCAGCGGGAAUCGACACAGGUGGCGGACGGUCGGUUCCGCCGUGAAAGACCGGAGCAGCUGAGGCCAUGCCGGCUGUGUCAUUACUCUCCGCUGCAAAGACUCUCCAGUGAGCAAGGCUCUGCUUGUAAGAGACUUGGAGAUGAGCAUGAACAGAAAGCAGCGAAGGUGUGAAUGAAACGAGUGGCGAAAACAACAUCCUCAUGGUCAUUGUGAGCACACGUCCAAUAAGCUUCUCUACAAAGACCCUUUCCAAGACGUGGAGCAAAGAAGAUGGUCGGAAUGGACAGAUUGUAGCGGGAGAAGGUGGAAGCCUGCAGGUGGAGAGGCUGGCAGGAAACGGUUAGUUUUGCCAAAGUCCAGACAGAGCAGAGAUGGGGUCCUUGGCGAGGUUACGACACCUGGCAACAAGAGCACACAUGACAUUGUGUUAGUCGACUCACUUUCACACAGACACAUUUCUUUUACAUAUAUUAGGAGGGUGUCAAAUAAUCGGAUUUAAGUAAAUUGCAAUUCUUAUUUGUAGCGAUUCUUAA